UGUUGUACGCCCUUAGUUAGGCUAGGCACCAAGUAGCACCAUCUCCUUUCCAGCAAAUUUUCACACACUUUCCCUACAAUUUCCCCCCGCCAAUCCCUAAUUAGUGAGCAUUUAAACGUUCCUGCAAUCACGUUAGCAGCCCUUCCCGUAGUGACGCACGUCAGAAUCGAGUCUGCACCGUAACGAAAUGGUAAUACAGCGUGUUUGGCGUAGCGCUGCUGCUUCCUCAUCGCUCAGUGCACCACAACCCCCACCACCUCCUCCUCCGCCAGCAUCAUCAUCAUCCUCCUCGUCCGCCACCACGGUGGCCACUUCCGCUCCCGGCUCGGCGGGAACGGCGGUGGUAGUGGCAACAGUUGCAACAAGUGCCUCAGAAGCAACAUCAACAAACAACAGCAGUGGUGGCAGCACGACGACGACAACAACAAACGCUGCCGAACCGGACGCAGGCAGUGCUGUGCAAACUGGGAUUCGACAGAAACUGAGAAAUGCUCUUUCCGGCGAGGCAACGCUGGAAGCGCUCAAGCAGCGUUACGGCACGGGCCGCUCGUUCGUGAGCCAGACGGCGAACGAUGCGGCGAUCAAAUCGCUCGAGCUGCUGCGGGCCAACGUCCAGUGCUACUUCGACAAGGAGGUGGACGCGGUAGUGAAAAAGUUUCACCAGACGUACUUCGUGCCGGCGAUACGCAACAUUAAGGAAAACCUGGGCGACGGGGCCAUCUCGGACGAGGCGCUCAAGAGCGUGUUCUGCUCGCUGCUGGAAAACACGAAGGCCCAGUACGGCAGCCAGCUGUCCUCGCCGGCGGGCAAUUCGCUGUCCCGCGCCAACACGCCCGGCAUGGAGCUGAGCGAUUCCGACUCCAGCACGGACAAUGCGCCGGCAGCGGGUGCCGCCACCAGCCUGCUGCACCAGGCGCUAAAGCGCAAGCUGCCCGAACCGAACCAACCGGACCUGUUCAAGCGGCAGUACUUCCUGCACGGACCGAUCUUUCCGCACGUCCCAUAUCAAAGCCUGCCGACGACGGGGCAGUCACUGGUCGGUGGUUCGAAUCUGGCUGCUGCGGCUAGCACGCGCCCCGUGUGCGCGCUGCCCACUACCGUCAUCACGCCCGAGAGCCUGUUCAUACUGGAUUUUAAGGCGGCCCGCGUGCUGGGCAUUGCCGACUUCCGGGACCGGCUGGCCAACAGGCAUCCCGAGGUGCUGCGCUACUGUCCCGACACGCAGGACCGCGACUGGCUGCUGCAGCAGCGGCAGGUGACACCGUUGAACAAAAAUGGGCGCUUCUUCCUGCUGGCGCUGGACGACGUGAAGAAGCUGAUCGAGCGGAACGCGUUCGAUCACACGGUAAGCAGUGGGCGCUCCGGGGAACUGCAGGGCUUUAAGGUGACGGAGAUGAUUUACGCCAAAAUACAGAAGCUGCUCAGGGAGCUCACCGAACGGCAGCGGGCAACAGAUGGUUUCGAAUCGCCGAAGGUGCUGCCGGCAGUCGCGUCCACCGGUCGGCCCCGGAUGUCCUCACUCAGUUCCUCACACGCAACGCUGACGGCACUGCUGUCCACGCCCCAUGCGCAUACGGCGGCCGCGGCGGCGUCGGCCAGUGAGUCCGUUAGCAGCUCCUCGUCGGCGAUGGCCGCGCUCGAGAGUGGGGGCGAGCUCAAGCGUAGCUAAGUCUGAUUCUAGUUCCUCUGUACAUAUCAACGCGAGAGAAAGGAUCUACGGGUGAGUCAGUACGGUGUAUAAAGGUGUGCGAAGCUGUGUCUAUUUGCCACGGUGUUGGCUGCGUAGGUUUCUUUACGUCUACUUGAUCGAACUGUGUGCGCUUUCGGUGUAUUUUUGCGAUUGUCUCCGCGAUACUUUAUGAAUUCUGAACGAGAAGGAUUCGCUUAUCUGGAAUCUCCACGU